rnacentral:rRNA from 1 species
UACGGAGGGUGCGAGCGUUGUCCGGAAUCACUGGGCGUAAAGGGCGCGUAGGCGGCCUGAUAAGUAGGGGGUGAAAUCCUGCGGCUUAACCGCAGGGCUGCCUUCUAAACUGUCAGGCUUGAGCACAGUAGAGGCAGGUGGAAUUCCCGGUGUAGCGGUGGAAUGCGUAGAGAUCGGGAAGAACACCGGUGGCGAAGGCGGCCUGCUGGGCAGUGGCUGACGCUGAGGCGCGACAGCGUGGGGAGCAAACAGG